rnacentral:rRNA from 1 species
GACGAACGCUGGCGGCGUGCUUAACACAUGCAAGUCGAACGGAAAGGCCCUGCUUUUGUGGGGUGCUCGAGUGGCGAACGGGUGAGUAACACGUGAGUCACCUGCCCUUGACUUUGGGAUAACUUCAGGAAACUGGGGCUAAUACCGGAUAGGAGCUCCUGCUGCAUGGUGGGGGUUGGAACGUUUAGGCGGUUGGGGAUGGACUCGCGGCUUAUCAGCUUGUUGGUGGGGUAGUGGCUUACCAAGGCUUUGACGGAUAGCCGGCCUGAGAGGGUGACCGGCCACAAUGAGACUGAGGUACGGCCCAGUCUCCUACGGGAGGCAGCAGUCGAGAAUAUUGCACAAUGGGCGGAAGCCUGAUGCAGCAGCGCCGCGUGCGGGAUGACGGCCUUCGGGUUGUAAACCGCUUUCGCCUGUGACGAAGCGUGAGUGACGGUAAUGGGUAAAGAAGCACCGGCUAACUACGUG